rnacentral:rRNA from 1 species
CCUAUCUGGUUGAUCCUGCCAGUAGUUAUAUGCUUGUUUCAAAGACUAAGCCAUGCAUGUCUAAGUCCAGCUGCGCGUUGGCGUCUCACGGCGUUGACGCGCGGUGAAACCGCGGACGGCUCAUUAAAUCAGCUGUGGUCCAAAUGGGCUUCAGUUAUCUUUUGGAUAACUGUGGUAAUUCCAGAGCUAAUACAUGCGACUCAGUUCCCAAGCCCUGUCGUUUCCCUUUGUGGCUUUGGCAGUGGCGACGGAUGCUUUUAUUAGACCGAGGCGUACCCCUCGCGGCGCGCGCUUUCACGAGCGUGCGUUGUGUCGGGUGACAGCUUAAAUGGUGACUCUGGAUAACACCUUGAUAAGCGCACGCUAUGUGCUUCGGCACGAGCGGCGCUUCCUCUUUCGAGCGACUGCCUUAUCAGCCAUCUAACGUUUGUUAUGCGCAAACGCUGGCUCUAACGGGUAACGGAGAAUCAGGGUUUGAUUCCGGAGAGGCAGCCUGAGAAACGGCUACCACGUCCAAGGACGGCAGCAGGCACGCAAAUUACCCAAUCCCAGCUCCUGGGGGAGGUAGUGACGAAACAUACUGAUGCGGGCGCCUCUUCGGAGGCCCCGCAAUCAGAAUGGCUAUUUCCUAAACACCCUAUCGAGAACCUACUGAAGGGCAAGUCUGGUGCCAGCAGCCGCGGUAAUUCCAGCUUCAGUGGCGUAUACUAAAGUUGCUGCGGUUGAAAGGCUCGCAGUUGAAUGUCUGUUGUCGGGCGUAGAUGGGUCUAGACGUUGGUCGAGUGCUUUGGUGAAAGCCUUAGCCUUGUUCCCGUCUUAUUCGUACCCUCUCGCUCUAUUGCAUAACUCGUUUUCGAGUGGUGGCGGGCGAUGUCUCGUUCGAACCUUGGUAUGGAGCGCGCUCUCGCGUGCGCUUGGGUGCGAGCCCUUGCGCGUCCCCGCGUUUGCGUUUGCUUCUGCCGUAGGGAGAGCUCGUCUUGUCGCCGUUUACAAAGCUCGAAACGCACAGUCACCUUGAGUAAAUCAGAGUGCUCAACGCAGUCGUGAACAGUAUAGAGUGAAGCCUUUACCGGCUGAUCUCGCAAUGUCUUGGGCUGCGGGUGCGUUAGAGGUACUAACUCUGCGCGCUCGUAGUACCUAUGACGGUCUUUGCUUUGCAUGGUACGUCGGAAGACGCCGUCAUCUCGUUGGUAGCUGCCAAUCGAUGAUAGAGAGAGAUCUCUUUUUCGGUAGUACAAGCCAACGAGUGCGGAAUGAUCUGACAGGAACGGUCGAGGGCAUUGGUAUUGCGGGGCGAGAGGUGAAAUUCUAUGACCCCCGCAAGACCUCCUGAAGCGAAGGCGUCUGCCAAGGACGUUUUCAUUAAUCAUGAACGAAAGUUAGAGGAUCGAAGGCGAUCAGAUACCGCCCUAGUUUUAACCGUAAACGAUUCCRACCAUCAAUCCGCGCGUAGCACCCUCGUCGUACGUGUAACAGCGUGCGACAGUGYGGGCUCGGCGGGCAGCUCCCUAUUCACGGGAAACCAGAGUCUCUGGGUUCCGGGGGGAGUCUGGUUGCAAAGCUGAAACUCAAAGGAAUUGACGGAAAGGCACCACCAGGCGUGGAGCUUGCGGCUCAAUUUGACUCAACACGGGCAAACUUACCAGGCCAGUACUCUUGCAUGACUGACAGAUCGAAAGCUCUUUCUCGAUUAAGUGGAUGGUGGUGCAUGGCCGUUCUUAGUUGGUGGAGUGAUCUGUCUGGUUAAUUCCGAUAACGAACGAGACUCUCCCCUGCUAACCAGUUACGCGAAUAGACGGUCGGAUUACUUUAUAACGACGAGGUUUGAUGGCGUGCCGCGAGUGUUCGUUCUCCUUUACCGGAAGCGGCGCUUGUGUGUUUUCUGCCCUGCCUCCGAUAGUCCGCCGCUCCUCCGCGAGUGAUCGAUAAGAACGCGCCUUGUUUGCUGGCCGGAGUGAGGUUGGGUAUGUUUGCGUGUGCCUUGUGUGGGCGUUGAGUGUGCGUUUCGGCGUGCCUCGGCAUUUGCGCAAGUGUGCGCGCGGCUAUCUUYCUCUCCUUCGCGUUGGCGGUGAGUGCCGUAAAUUGUUGUAUUGUGGAGGCACUUUUCUUCUUAGAGGUAUUGACGACUCUGCUAAAGUCGUAAGAGACAGAGAGCAAUAACAGGUCUGUGAUGCCCUUAGAUGUUCUGGGCCGCACGCGAGCUAUAAUGCCGGGUACAGCGGGUUCAAUCACCUACUCCGAAAGGAGCGGGGUAACCCUCUGAAAACCCUUUAUACUUUGCGGUGCCCUAACAGGUGCCGUAGAGUUACAGCUCGCUUGGGCCUGGGGUUUGCAACUAUCUCCCACCAACGAGGAAUGCCUUGUAGUGGCGGGUCACUGAGCCCGCAGUGACUCAGUCCCUGCCCUUUGUACACACCGCCCGUCGUCUACUACCGAUUGAGUGUACCAGUGAGAUUCUUAGACUGGCGAACCUCGAGUACGCAUUUAGGCUUUCCGGCUUUGUGUUACGCUCCGAGGCAAACGACGGAAAGAGACUCGAACUGGUGCACUUAGAGGAAGUAAAAGUCGUAACAAGGUUUCCGUAGGUGAACCUGCGGAAGGAUCAA